UAAUCAACUCCAUAAGUUUGAGUGUACCCUUUGGCUACCAAUCUUGCUUUAUGUCUCUCAAGAGAUCCAUCAGCCUUAUAUUUUAGUGUGAAAAUCCACUUGCAAUCAACAAUGUUUUUCCCUUUCGAUCUUUCAACAAUCUCCCAUGUUUUAUUUUUUUCUAAUGCACUCAUCUCCUCUCUCAUAGCAUCAUUCCAUUCCCUUUUUGUCAAUGCCUCAGAAACAGUGUUAGGGACGAUAGUGGUGUUUAGACUCACAAUAAAAUUUUUGUGGGCUAGUGAUAAGUGCUUAAGAGACACAUAGUGUGAUAGUGGAUAGAGUGGUCAAUUAGUGCAUUCUCUGGUGCCUUUUCUAACAGCAAUAGGAAGGUCUAAGUCUAGGUUGUCUGUUGAGUCAGUGGAAGUUUCACCAAGUUGUGUAUGUAAAGGUGGGUCUGAUCUUACCGUGAUUUCAUUCCCAGGGUCUAAGUUGGAUUCUUGGACCUGCUUUUGUUCUGGAAUGGCCUUUUCCCUUGAACACACCUUAGGAACCUAUGGAAAAUUGCGAGUGACAGUGGUUGGAACAGGAGAUGACAUGGGUUCAGUGGUAAAAUUGGGUGACUCAGGUUCAAAUGACUCAGGUUCUUCAUCACCAUGGGUUGAGACAUGAGGAAGGUCAAGAGGUUCAAAUGACUCAUAAGGACUAUCUUCCAUCAUUGAAAUAUCCCCCUAAAGAGAGGACUUGGGAAAAAAAGGUUUAUUUUCUGUGAAGGUGACAUGUGCAGAGAUGUAAAAUUUUCUGACUGAGGGAUUGUAAUACUUGUAUCCUUUUUAAGUGGAUGAGUAAUCAAAGAAGAUACAUUUUAUGGCUCGAGGGUCUCUAGCUUAUCUCUAUGUUGGCUGUGGACAUGAACAAAUGCAGUACACCCAAAUACCCUAGAAGUGAGCCCAUUUGAGGUUCUGAAGUGUGGAUAAAAACUCUUAAGUAUCUCUACUGGCCUUUUGUUGUCUAACACUCGUGAGGGAAUUCUAUUUAUCAUGUAUGUGGCAGUAAGAACAGCUUCCCCCCAAUAGGACUUAGGAACAUUCCCUUGAAAGAGUAAGGCCCGGGUUGUGUUGAGUAAAUGCCCAUUUUUCCUCUCGGCUACCCUAUUUUGUUGGGGCGUGUUAACACAUGAUGAGCCAUGGAGAAUGCCCUGUGAUUGAAAAUAGGGUGACAAAGUCUGAUUGAAGUAAUCUUUAGCAUUGUUUGUCCUAAAGCUUUUUAUUUUAACCCCAAAUUGGUUUUGAACCAUUGAGUGGAAAUUAGGUAUAACAAUGCUAACAUCAGAUUUUUGUUUAAGAAGAAAGAUCCAUGUAACCCGAGUGCAGUCAUCAAUUAAAGAUACAAACCAACAAGUCCCAAAAACAUUANGUAUAGUCGAANGACCCCAUAUGUCACUAUGAAUCAAAUGAAAAUGAUGAGAACAACUUUUAUUGCUAANNNNNNNNNNNNNNNNNNNNNNNNNNNAAAAGACAACGACAAAUUAUUACUAGUUUUCUGAGAUGAUUCAAGGUGGUAAAGACCGCUCCUUUCCUUAGCAAAUCCAAUCCUCCUCCCCGAGCCUUGUUCUUGAAGAACACAAUAAGAAGGGAAAAAAAUAGCAUAACAUUUAAGAUCAUGGGUAAGCUUUUGAAUGGAAACAAGGUUGGCCGACAAUUUUGGUACAUGGAGGACAUUUUUAAGAAUAAGGGUAGGUGUGAUGUAUAUGUCUCCGAAACCUGCAACGGUAGCUAAAGAGCCAUUGACCACUACAAUUUUCUUGUUACUUGGGUUUGGGGUAUAGGUAUUGAAAAGUUGAGAUUUGGAGGUCAGAUGGUCUGUGGCACCGAAAUCUAUUAUCCAAGAGUCAUCAUAAACUCUAUGAGAGGCAUUUAUGCAAAAAGAGAGUGAAGGUGUACCUGAAUUUUCCAACAUCUUCCAUGAAAAAACCUAAUUUCUUGGAAUUAAGGCAAAUCGGGAAACAAAAAAAACAGCAGCAAUGAAGGCUGGUAAAAGAACACGUGAAUAAAAAAAAUCCGGCUAUGAAGGCCAAAAAAAUGGCGAUGAAGGCCAGAAUGAUGCCCAGGUCUUAAAAACCUAUAGCUUUGAUACCUUGACACGAAAUAUGGGAUGAAAAAUGAUAAAUUCUAUCUAUUAGAUUGAUUAUACACACAAUUUAUAUACAAGAUUACAAGAGAAGAAAUAGGAAACAAGAGACAUAAUAGGAAACUAACUUAUUCCUAAAUCAUAAAACUAUCUAUUUACAAAAAUAGGAAACUAAUAAAACUAUCUAUUUACAGAAUUAGGAAACUAACAAAACUAUCUAUUUACAGAAAUAGGAAACUAACAUAAUAAGAGAAUAAUUCUCCUAUUUUAUUUACAGCUCAACAGUACUUAAUUUUUAGUUCUAUCAAACACCCGACAUUUUCUGCCCAUCUGUCUGGCAAUCUUUGCUUCUUAUCCAAAAGGCCAUAAUACUAAAAAUCCUAGCUACAGAAAUAGAUAAGUAAAAUUUAAAGACAAUGGAGGAUAAGUAUUUGUAGUAAGCAAAGAGUUUUUGCACAUUAGAUGCCUCCAGAACAAAGUCAUUAAGAAGUUGACCCAUAUCCAUAGCCUUGCAUCCAAAAGGAAAGGCAAACCAAAUCUUCACAACCAUGCAUUCUAAGCUCCUCUAGUUGGCUACAAAUCAAACUUAUGUUAUCCCAUUCUUCAAGUAAACCAUAGAAAAGAGAACACACUUCAGAAGAGACUGAAUACCUUAUGCUAAGGAUGUGAAAGGAACAUCCUAUUUUCCAGGAUCCCCACAUGAGUUCUCAAGUAUUCUUUGUGUGUGCUAAGGCUGCAUCUGCACUCUUUAUAUAGUUCUCUCAUACUAAAAAAAAUGCAUACUAUUUUUCAAAAAUUAAUAGUCUCCAUUCAGGAAAGACGACAAUAGCUAGCAAAACAUUAUGAGACUCAUAAACAGAAUUACUAAAAUAGGCUAAUAAUGAAGCAAAAAACAGGAAACCGUUCAAAAGUUAAAGAGCAACUGAGUGAAAGAAGUACCAUCUUGAAGAGCUGACAUCACUUCUGGAUCUUUGAAUGCUGCCAUCAGUUCAGGAUCCUGCUCCAAAUAAUAGAGAUGCAGACCACAUCAAAACAACAGUGCAUUGGAUAAAACUGAGACUUACCAAAUCAGUAUGGAAUACAAGCAGAGAGUGGACAAAGUAUGUAUAAUGUGAGAUCAUCAAAUAGAGAGUAAAAGCAGUCAUUUUUAAAAACCAGUCACACUCAACAUUUUGCUUUGGAUGCAGAGUCUACAUGCAGAAAUAUAUCUAAUUUAACUGAAAAACCUAGUCUCAUGCUUACAUUCAAUAUUUUGCUAUAAUCAACGUUUCCAGGCAUCCCCCCUGGCAUGCCACCAGGGGAUCCUCCAGGCAUACCCCCAGGAAAGCCUCCUGGCAUUCCCCCAGGAAAGCCUCCUGGCAUUCCCCCAGGAAAGCCUCCUGGCAUUCCCCCAGGAAAACCGCCCGGCAUUCCCCCAGGAAAACCUUCCGGCAUUCCCCCAGGAAAACCUUCCGGCAUGCCUUCAUGAGUUCUACUGGAUGAUGACUGCUCUUGCUUCUUAGCCUUCUCAUAUGCAGCCUAUAAGAGAAUCCACAACAAGUAUCAGUCACAUUCACGAAAUAAACAACUAGAAGGAUAACUUAAGAGAUAAGCACAAAAAUGACUACCUGAGCUUGAGCCCGUCGACGUUGUCUCUCACGUUCAAUCUUCUUGUCCUCUUUUUCUUUGCGCAACCUUUCAUACUUCCUACGGUGUUCCUCGAUCCUGUGUGCAUUAGGCUCAACCUGUACAGCACAGAGUAGUAGUGAGACGCUAAAAGAAGUUAAAAACAUAUGCAACAUGCAGACGGAUAUACAGGGUGUCAGACACCCCCAUUAAAAGGACAAUUCAUCUGUCAUAAAAACAAUAAUUCAAAUUUCGAAAAAAUAAAAAUAAAAAUAAAAUAAAAAAUAAAAAACAAAAGUGAAAAAAACUAACCUUCUUAAGUACAGCACUUAUCUCCUCGUCAUAAUCUAACUUUGACGCCAAGUGGAGAUCCUUUGCUGCCUCUUCCCACUGGCCGAGCAUUGCUCUUGCUAUGCCACGGGACUUGUACCCUUUAGCAGAAUCUGGAUUAAUCUGGGGUACACAUUAUGGAAAAUUUCAAACUCAGAAACCACCAUCUCUAGAUAUCAAAUAAAUCAAUUACAUUAUGGAAAGUCUAUCACUAAACAUAUAAACAUUGAUGAAUUAAACACCUUUUGACAACCAAAAAAAAAAAUUCAAAUGCAGGUUAUGCUCUCUUGAAUGAAACAAUUUUAAUUCAAUAUGUAAACAUGCAGAAUUAUGAACCAAACCAAUAAUAUGAAGAAUGCAUUAAAAAAAAAAGUCAAUACACUUCAUUUAUAGAUACAAUGAGUGUACUUUCUUUUUCACAAAAAAUUAAACUUGAUAAAAGGAUGUCUCUACAUAAUCUUUUGUGCAAAAUUCAUACAUACAAGCAUGUAGUCAUGAAUUCUACUUGUAUUUUGAGCUUAACAUGGAUGUUUCCACAUAUAUGUUUAAUUUUAAGCAAUAAUGAGCAGAAAUACAGCCAUAUAUGAUUAACCAAGUUAAAAGAGAAUGCAAAUGACCUCUAAAGCUGCAUUGGCAUCCCGGAUAGNNNNNNNNNNNNNNNNNNNNNNNNNNNNNNNNNNNNNNNNNNNNNNNNNNNNNNNNNNNNNNNNNNNNNNNNNNNNNNNNNNNNNNNNNNNNNNNNNNNNNNNNNNNNNNNNNNNNNNNNNNNNNNNNNNNNNNNNNNNNNNNNNNNNNNNNNNNNNNNNNNNNNNNNNNNNNNNNNNNNNNNNNNNNNNNNNNNNNNNNNNNNNNNNNNNNNNNNNNNNNNNNNNNNNNNNNNNNNNNNNNNNNNNNNNNNNNNNNNNNNNNNNNNNNNNNNNNNNNNNNNNNNNNNNNNNNNNNNNNNNNNNNNNNNNNNNNNNNNNNNNNNNNNNNNNNNNNNNNNNNNNNNNNNNNNNNNNNNNNNNNNNNNNNNNNNNNNNNNNNNNNNNNNNNNNNNNNNNNNNNNNNNNNNNNNNNNNNNNNNNAAUGAAUCCCAGACAAACACUAUCACUACAAAAUCUCAAACAGAGUUCUACCUCUGGUUCCAUACAUAAUUGCUGAUGUUGGGUUGAGCAAAAUCGCCUCAGUCAGAUGCCCAAUUGCUUCCUCCAACUUACCUAAUAAAACAAAGCCACACAAUGCAUAAGCCACCAAUAUAAUGCACAAAUCUGAACCAUAUAAUUCCCGGGGGGAAAAAAACCCCACAUUACCUUCGGAAAUAGCUUCCAUGGCUUGCCCUUUUGCCAUUUGAGAAGCAUCACGAUCUUCUUCCGAAACCUCCACUGUUGGGUCCCCCAUCUGCACCCAAAAAUGAAAUUUUCUCACCACAGAAAACAUCAAAUGCCAAAAUUCAGAAUUAUGCAAUAACAAAAACAAGACCUUUUGCGGCGGAUCAUUAUCAGGAUCAACAGUAUCGCCUUCGAGCUCAACAUCGGACUCGACUAUAUUGCUGUCGUCCCCUUCCUCUUGCGGGUCUUGGAGGUCCGCCAUUUCCUCGUCGCUCUCCUCCACCACAUAGUUUUUCUAUCAUCCCAGAUCAAAAGAACGCAAAGGACACAUUUUAUAACCCUAGAACAAUUCUAAAUCAUAAAAAUAACAACAAUUUACACAAAAAAAAAAAAAAAAUUGACGCUGAUAAAGCACCGAUUUCGAAUCUUCACUCUUGUAAGCAGAAGGAGGAAGAUCAGCACCCAGACUGCAACAAAAAUCAUUUAAAAAAGCAAUUACAUAAAUAAAAUAAAUAAAUAAAUAACAGAUACAUAUAAACAGAGAAAAGCCUUUGCUCAGAGGGAUUCUGGGUACCUCUCCAAGUAGUCGCGGAAAAAGGAAAGCGUAGGAUUGCUGAGAAUGGAUGGAUCAGCUUUGCACUGUUCGAUGAAUUGCUUCAACUGGUCGAGCUUAUCGCCAUCCAUGGCCUAGGUCUGAUGUUUUGCACAGAUUCUAGCGUGCUCCCUUCUUUUUUCCCCUCUUUUCCUUCCUUCUCCCCGCUUACGAAACGGCCAGAAAGUGCUGAGAGUGGCUUCUUCUAGUAGCUUCUAAAGGAUAGGCUUCAGAUUUUCUUUUCUAUUUUUAUUUACUAGUCAGUGUACACGUGACGAAGCACGUGAAAGGAAUAUGGAAAAGAAAAACCCCUCUUAAAAAAAUUUAGUAUAUGAAUUUAUUCAAAUAAGACUUAUAUAAAAAUUAAGUAAAGAUUUAAAAUUAAAUAUAAAACCAAAUUAUAAAAAUAAUUGAAAUUAAAUAUAAAUAAGAUUAGACUUUUCAAUAUCAAAUUUUAUGAUAAUAAAAUUAUUUUUUAACCAGUUUUUUUAUAUUAAAAAAAUAAAUAUCAACCUUGGUUCUUAGCCAUAAUAUUUACCAAUUUUAAUUUAAAUACGUUAUUUAUUUCUUAUACACUAAAUUUGUAAAUUUUUUUAGUUAAUUGUUUUAUACAUAGUUUAAAUACUUUUUAUUUUAUAUAAGAGCUUUUUAAUAAAAAAAAUUAGAAUAAAAAUGAAUUAAUUUGAGCAAUAAAUUUAUAGAUUUAAAAAAAAAUCUCAAAUCGAUAGCAUACUGUGGACCCCGCAUUUUGGCUCAUCCGUUCCCCACUUGAUAAUGAGUUCGAUUUUGAUUUCGAAAAAUGAUUUAAUUGUUGAUUAAGAAAAAUGACUUGGAGUCGCCACUUAUUUUUGUUUUAUUUUUAAAGAAUAAACAAAAUAAGAAAGAAAACCCUAAGUGUGACUCCUUAUUUUGGAAAAGGUAAUCUACGAAAAACCGGAUCAGGUUCGGGGGUCAGGUUACUUAUUAGAAAGGUACGGUAAAAACCGUAGCACCCUUCUAAGUCCCUAAAAACGGGUCUCUACUAAUAAAAUGAAACAAUUAUGGCAAUUGGUAAGGAAAACAAUGAAUACCCGAAACUAUCAUGCACAUAUGGGAAUCAAAACAUGUAUAUAGAAAGACCAAAGUGGGAAUAGAUACACACCUGGGUGAGGAGCCACAAUAAGCUAUCCAAAAGUGAGGUUAGUGCACAAUUAAAGAAUAAUUUCAUGCAUGUCAUAGAGCAAAAUAAACCAAUCAUGUAUGAUAAUCAAGUCGAUCAAAUCUCAUAUGUCGGGCCCCCACCAAAGCCCGUUUUAUCUUGCCUGAAUCAAUUCCGAUAAUUCCAUUAUUCGGAAUUACGGAGUUUGAUUCCUUGCUUAUUUCAAAACAUUUUAAAAAACAGAGGAAGUUUGAAAAUUGCUUGCCAAAAAUAAAAAUGGUAGUAAAGCUUUAUUAAAAAUGUGAUUUUGGAACCUAAAGAAAAUGCUCUAAGGAUGAAGAAAAAGGUGGAACGUCGGGCGGACAGAAUUCCGGAUGUGAGAUGUCCGGAGAAGGUUGAACGUCAGGGGAGAGAAUUCCAGAUGUGAGAUGUCCGGAGAAGGUGGAACGUCGGCCGGACAGAAUUUCGGAUGUGAGAUGUCCGGGUGGAAUGGUGGUGGGGAAAGAAUUUUGAAUGUGAUAUGUCCGGGUGGAAUGGCGGCGGGGGAAAAAUUUCGAAUAUGAAAUGUUCGGAUCCGGGUGGAAUGGUGGCGGGGGAAGAAUUCUGGAUGCGAUAUGUCAACUUCCGGGUAGAAUGUCGGCGAACGGAAUUCCGGAUAUGAGACAUCCAAAUAAGGUAGAACGUGGUUAUGAGUAGCAUGAAGGAUAGGUAUGAGUUGUAUGGAUAUGGGGGUUUGGGUGAGUGGUUUUAAUGGGUAUGUGAAAAAAGUGAAGGAUAGCAUGCACCCAUAAGACCCCAUGUAAGUGGGGGAGUGGGAUGGAAAAUGAAUGAGAGGAAAAUGGGCGCAGUGGAGAAUGCCUGAUUCUUGCAAGCUUAAGUGAGGAAAUGGGUAUGACGACCUAGAGAGAGAGGUGUAUAGGUGAACAAUGGGUAUGGUGGAUAAAGAAAAAAAAACAGGGGGGUGAGAUGACGACACGCUUGCAUGAGAAUAUAGAUAACAGGAUAGCAACAAUAAGAAAAAUAUGAAAACUUUAACCAGCAUAUCAGACCCAUUUCAUCGUUUCAUCCAUGGGUCCAACAUUUAGUGAGUUACGAUGGAGAAUACUUGUUAGAAUAGGGCAUAAAACACAGCAAACACUUCUACUAUUUAAUCAGUAAUCACCAAAACAAAACAACCCAACAAGCAGACAUGAAAAAAAAACACUGACAAUCAGACUUGGACAAUAUGAAUAAAAAUGGAAAAUAUACAAAACAAACAAAUGGUCAUACCUGGAAAUCUCCCUUCCCAACUCCGUGUCCUGGACUCUUCCCAGCAACUCUACGCUCCUUUGUUCUUAGCUUCCUACUGCAGUUCAACCCAUACUCUUUCCCUCAAAACCCUCAGAAAAACUCUUCUCCCCUGCACCAUGUCGUCCCCUCUCCUUUUCUCUUCCUUUCUCUGUAUCUCGGAUUUGCCUUCCCAAUGAUCUCUACUGCAGCCACCUUUUUUCUGUCACCUUUUCUAUCUCGCCUCCCUACAGCCACCUUUCCUGCCACCUUUUCUGUCCCACUCCUUUUGCAGCUUCAAAAAGCGAGGUUGAUUCCUUAUGACCACUAAGGAUGUGACACGUGGCCGCUGAGAUAGUGACACGUGGCCCACUGGGGAUAGUGACACGUGGCCCGCUGGGAUAGUGACACGUGGCCCGCUGGGAUAGUGACACGUGGCCCGCUGGGAUAGUGACAUCUGGCUAAAAAUGCGAUCUACAAAAACAAAUAGAGGGAAAGCGACCCAUGCCUAAAUGGGAAUCUACACAUACCCAUUGGAAGAGUUAAAGAUAAAAUUUUGAAAAUAAUAGAGAAUGACAAAAUAAAAGAAUUUUUUUCAAACUUUAAAUAUGAAAAAUGAAAUAGUCGCAAUAAAUUUGAAAAAUUUUCAAACUUUUAAUGAUAAUUUGAUAUAACAUUAAUUAUAUUAAUAGUGUGGUUUUAAAGAUAAUAAAAUUUAUAAUUCUAAAACUUUUUUUAAUGAAAAAAGUGAAAAGUAAAUAAAAAAAUUAAUGAUUGGUAUCCAUACAUUUUUUUGUUAAAAAUAAAAAAUUAUAUAAAUUUAAAAAUUCUUAGGGAAAAAUUAUUGAAUUAUAUUAUGUUGUUAAAAAUUAUUUUUUAAAAAUUAUAUUUUUAAUUCAUUUUUAAAAACCAUUAUACAUUUGUAAAACUUCUUGUUAGUUUUUGUUUCUAAAGAUAGAAAAUAGAAUCCAAAUAAAAUUAAAUAAUUUCAUAUAAUAUUUAUAUAAAAAAUAUAAAGGAAAAGUAAGUUUUUUUCUAAAAAUAUUUUUAAAAAAUCAAAAGAAUUAAAAUUUCAAUAUAAAAUUUUUCAUCAUUUUGUUAAAUUUUAUAUCAAAAUCUUAAUAAUUUUUAAAAAAUGUUGUCAUUUUCUUGAUGAAAUUUAAAUUUGUUUAAAUAAAUAAUGUAAAUAAGUGAUGAAACUUUUUAUUAAAUAAUUAUUUAUAAUAUAAUAAGUGUUAUUAUUAAUUCGCUAUAAUUUAAUUAAAUAUACAAAUUUAAAAGAUUUAAAUACCUCAAAAUGAAUGGAAAUCACUAUUAAUUUAAAAAGUUUCAUGUAAUUUAAAAAAUUAUAAUUUAUUUCAUUGAAGAAAUGAGAAAUAGGUUAGGAUAAGAAGAAAAAAUUAAUAAUAAAUAUAAGUAAUAAAUACAUUUUAUUUAUUUUCUCAAAACACACUUGAUUUAAAAUACCUCAAAUUUGUUAUUAAAAAAAAAAACCUAAUUUAUGAGAUAUUUUCAAAUAAACCAUAACUAUCCUGCAUCUCAAUUGUAAAUCUAAAAUCAAAAAACAUUAUACUCAAUGAUUUUCUAUCAUAACCAUACAUAAACCAUAAUUAAUGACUAAAACUAAUAAACAUCAUAUCGAUGGAUCAUAUGGCACUUUGUCAAACAGGAUGAAGGAUAGAGUAGUUGUACUGGAGGGGACACCAAACAGUUGUGCCGAAGAUGAAUGCAGGUUCCACAAAAACAUUAACAUUUUCUUUUAUAGUUUUUUGAGAGUAAUUUUAUGAUUGAAUUUGAAUAUAAAAUCAAAAUGAAUUUAUGAACAUACAGAUUUAUGUUAAGUCAAGUAAUUAAAACUUUAAAUUAAAUCCCUACCAAAUCGAUGAAUAGAAAUUUGAGGCAAAUGAAAAAAUGAUAAUUUCAUGAAUGACUUCCAUUAAUUCUAACAAAAUGAAAAGAUUAAAUUUCUAUUUAAGUUGAUGAUGAAAAGAUUUAUUUAUAUUAUUCAAGUUUAAUCCAUUAAUUAAAAAAAUAGGGUUAUUUUUUCUUACCUUAGGGAUAUGGUCGUAAACUCAUAGGAGAGCAUAAAAAUUACACAGAAUUCGCAAUAUUUUACCUGAGAGAUGGGAAUUUUGAGUACCCAUUUUGACCCUUUCAAAAUUUGACAAAAACAAACAAAUGUUUUGAAACAAUGAAUUCUUUUUAAUUUCAUUUAAGAAUAUCGAUACCUAAGAUGGUUAAAAACUUGAAAGCGACGACAAAUAUUUCGUUCCAAUUCUUCCAUCACCACCAAAUUUACGGAAUGCAUAACAACUUGUUCAAAAAAUUACCUUAUUCCAUCGUCCGUGUUUAAUUUUUCCCAGACUUUAUAAGCAUAAUAAUAAUCUACAUUUGGAUGAUUUUACGGUUUUACCAUAGUUGAGAAUCUCUAUCAACGUGUCUGCUAUUCUCUUCCACGAAAAGCAAUAGGGAUUAUUACGAAGAUUGAGCCAGCCCAAAACCACCUCAACUUAACUUGGUCUGGGCUUAGGUCUACAAGUCUCAUUUCAUCGUUGAGUUCGGAUCGGGCCUAGGCCCAUAUGAUUCCUGUCAUUGCAAAUUUGCCUUACAUGGCUCCUCACCUACACCCAUGUUUCAAUCAAUGAACUCAUGAUCAAUUUACAGAAAUUAUGCAAAGGGGGUUCAAAAAACCAUCCAAGAAUCCGUUAACUAUAAGGAUAAAUAGAAGAUAUCGCAUAACACCACAUAUUACAGAAGUACUGCAGUGUACAAAAUGAUAGUUUGCAACAAAUACAACUAAAGGAUUCACGAACACGACUCAAAUCAAUGAAAUGCUGAAGGGGAAACGAGCAAACAACAAAAUCUGCAGCUAGCUAUCGAAAUUCUGCUCCGAAAUUGUGGAAUGAUCUCUGCAUUAUUCUCUCUCCAUUCGUUUCCAGUAAGUUCACAUGUUUAAAGCAUCAGAGAAGCACACAACAAUAGUAAGCUAGACAUUCCAGUCCAUGCAACCAUGCUCGCGCCACCUCCGUCCUUUCCAGGUGUAGCUGUAAGAUUUGCACCUUUGUUAUAUGAAGAAAAAUGGCUAGCAUACAUGGCUAAAUAUUAAAGCUAAUAGAAUAACCAAUUUAUGCAUGUUUGUAGUCUAAUUCAGGAACAAGUAUUUUCUAAACACAGAGAGAGAAAGAAGGAACAAGCAUCAAACCAAUCACUCUCACUUGAAAUUCCAUGGAAAAAGCUAAAAUAUGUCUACCAACAGUGCUUCCCUAAUAAAAAAAUUUGUGUAACAAGAUAUUAAAGAAUCCUCCUCUUGCAAAGUCAUAAGAUUCAGCUUCAGUCAAUUUGAAGCAAAUUGUCCAAAGCUGCCUAAAUUCUUUCCCUACAACCAGAAGCCUAAUGUGCUAUUUGGCAUCUCAUGAUGACUUUCCCACAAACCCAAACAGUGCCCAGAUGGAAGUUCUUCUUCACAGUAACCAUUCAGUAGUAGGUUUCUUUACCCUGAGCACAAGAGAGCUGGAACCCACGCCAACCAUGGUCAACAAUGGAAUUCUUUUGGUCCCAUCUCCAGCUCAUUAAACAUAAAAGCACAGAAAUGGAAGGCCAACCAUUUUUACCUAAAAGGAUGAGCAUGCAAUAAUUCAAUGAAGUCCCCUAAAGAUGAUUCCAGCCAUAAAACUACCGUCCCAAGGUGGGUCUUUCAUUCAACCCACAUUACAAUGUCUGGUUGUGGGCGCUAAUUAUCAUAAGGCCAUACCAGUUUAGAACAAACUUUAAUGGAGGAUUUGAGAAAAAGCCAUGUGAACCAAAUUAGAGAUAAUAUACUAUUGCAAUCUAAAAUCAUGUGAAACAACAGUGAUACUCUAUAGAGAGACAACUGGAAGAACAAGGACGAUGAGAAACUUCUGUACCNNNNNNNNNNNNNNNNNNNNNNNNNNNNNNNNNNNNNNNNNNNNNNNNNNNNNNNNNNNNNNNNNNNNNNNNNNNNNNNNNNNNNNNNNNNNNNNNNNNNAAAGCUGUAAGCCUGUAACCACUAACCACUACAAAAACAUUUCUAAUCAACACAUCCAGACAUGUUAACAUUCAUCGCGAAGACAGCAGGAAAUGCCACAUAAAUAUAGGGGUUGUUCUUUGGUACCCGACUCUUUAUUUUGGUUACCCACCCACGUUUGAAUUCAAUAAUAAAAUUACACAUGUAAAAUAAUAAAAUAGAUGUCAUUAAAAAAAUUACAAAAACUUAUUAAAUAGGUACAAAUGAUUUAAUUGAUGAUAAAUAAUCACAUUCAUUUCAUAUAUAUAUAUAUAUAAAUAUUAUAAUUUUUAUUAUUAUUAAAUAUCAAAUAUAAUUUAUUAUUUAAUGAACUACCGAAACUCUAUUUAAAAAAAGAAAAUCCUAUCCACUAUUCUUAUACUUUCAUUAUUUAUAUAUAUAAAAAUAUACUAAUUUAAUAUGAAAAUUAAAUAGUUUCAACUACCAUAUUACAGAAUAUGUGAAAUAUAUUUUGAUAAAUCAAAUUUGAAGAUCAAGUUCGAAACUUUUUAAGGGAAAAAAUUUUAAAUUUAUGUUGUACGAAGAAGAUAAGAAUUUCAAGUGAUUACAAGUAUCAAAUGUAAUAUUUGAUAUAUUUUUAUUUAAAUAUAAAUUUCGUAGGUAUAAAUAUUAUGUUAAAUAAUGAAUAUGUAAUGAUUUAUAAAAUUUAAAUUUUAUAAUUUUUUAUGAGUUUAUUAUUAAUCAAAUUAAGAUAAUUUAAUUUUUGUUAUCAAAUUGUUAUUAAUAUUUGUAUAUCAUUUUUUUUUUUUUUUUGUGUUUAUAGAUUAAAUUUGAAGAUAAAGUUUUAUGUCUUGAGAAAUACAUUAUAUGAAGGAUAUCAAGUGAUUACAAGUGUUAAAAAGUAAUAUUUCAUAUAUGUUUUUUUUUUUCAUUCAAAUAUAAAUGUUGUAUGUAGAAAUGUCGUGUUAAAUGACAAUUAAAUAUGUAAUGAUUUAUAAUAUUUAGAUUUUUGAAUUUUUUAUGAGCUAUUAUUAAUCAAAUUGAGACCAUAUAAUCAAUCAUUUGUUAUGAAAUCAACAUCAAUAUUUUUUAUGUUAUUAUUUUGUGUAUUUGUAGAUUAAUUUUGAAGAUGAAGUUUUAUAUAUCUUGAAGAAGGAAAACAAUAAUUUUUGUCUCUUGGGAAUAUAUUAUAUGAAAGACUCCAAUUGAUUACAAGUGUUGAAAGGUAAAGCAAUGUGAGAUGGGGUAUGAAUAAUGUGAAAGGGCAUAAAUAUUAUGAGAGAAGUGCGAACAUUGUGNNNNNNNNNNNNNNNNNNNNNNNNNNNNNNNNNNNNNNNNNNNNNNNNNNNNNNNNNNNNNNNNNNNNNNNNNNNNNNNNNNNNNNNNNNNNNNNNNNNNNNNNNNNNNNNNNNNNNNNNNNNNNNNNNNNNNNNNNNNNNNNNNNNNNNNNNNNNNNNNNNNNNNNNNNNNNNNNNNNNNNNNNNNNNNNNNNNNNNNNNNNNNNNNNNNNNNNNNNNNNNNNNNNNNNNNNNNNNNNNNNNNNNNNNNNNNNNNNNNNNNUAGGAUUCCUUAUAAUCUUCAUGCAUUUCUCACAUUUUUCAUAUCCUUUUUAAUUUUUUAGUGUUUUAAUUUUCUAAAUUUUUUAAGGAUAAUUUACAUCAUUUCCAAUUAUAAAUCUUUUUAAUUCUUUUUUUUUUUAACAAUUCUAUUGAUAAUAACUCAAAAUAAUAUUAUUAAACUAUGUUAUUGUCAUUUCAAGUUAAAAAGUAAAUAUGAAAAUUUAAAAAUAUAAAUAAUUUAGGAUACGAAAAAUAUGAGAACGGUAAGAAAAAAUAUGAUAAAUACAUAUUUGGUACUUUCAUAACAUUUUUCAUAUUGAUUUUUAGUUUUAAAAUUUUUGAAAUUACAAAUUUAUUUUCGAAAAUACUAUUAUUUGUAACUCAAAAGAGUAUUAGUAAUUUAUUUUAUUAUAAUUUAAAUUUAAAUGCCUUAAAUUCAAUAAAUGUAAAAUUUGGAGAGUAUGAGAAAAAUUAGGAUGAUCUAAUUACCUAAACUUUACAUAUGAUUAUCAAAAUAUUGGAUUUUAAUGAAAAUAUUCAUUUCAUAUUAAAAUAUUACCAUAUUCAUUUUUAUGUUGAAUUUAAAUGUUUAAUAAUUUGUUAAAAAUAAAAUAAUAUAAGUAUGACAUACGAUGAUUUUUUUUUGUUAAUAAAUAUAUUUUCAAAUUUUACAUCAAUUUUAUUUUUAUCUCAUAUUUUUUUAUUUAAAUCCAAAAUUGUUGAGAAUGGAGAAAGAAAUUAAAGGAGACGGUGGAAGGCCACAACCAGUUCUUCCCUUAAUCGGGUUAAGUGGAAUUUUUAUUUCAAAUUUAAAAUCAAUGGCUUAAAAAUUUUCCGAAGCCAAAAUUUCAGUGGGAGUUCCAGGCUAGCAGUGGCAGAGUUUUCUUGGUUUCUUGUGAGUUGCUCUUAGAGACUGGAAAAGUCACCUGGGAAGUCAUCCAGAAUAAGUCCGAGGACAACUCCUCUCUAUAAAAUGUUGCCAGUUUUAACUCAUUAGAAAGUGGUUCAAGUUUUCUGAGAAGCAAUAAAGCAACAGGGUCAGCCCACUGCCCGCGAGUUCACGUGCACGAAAUCAUGCCACGACAAUACAAGGCAGCCACUGAAAGGAGCCUCCCACCUAAAUUGAUUCUUUACCACUUCCAUUCUCAUUUUAAUUAAUAAACGGGACGCCACUCAAUUACUUGGUGAUCUCAAUACUCUUUCCUAUUUACAUUAUUCUGAUAUUUAAAUUAAUUAGUGGAAGUCUUCCGUAUGAGCCCAAAAGUUAUUGGAGCGUGUGUUUGGCCGAAUAUGCAAAGACAAAGCCGGCAGAAAUGACUUUAUAAUAGUUUGAGUCUAAUUUCCAUACCAGAUGCCAUCUAGAAUCUCAAAGUUUUAAAGGGGUUCAAACUGGAAAGGUUAUUAUUUCCACAUUGUCGAUUUUAAUAGUGCAGCUCAGUCUUCUUAGACAAGUUCAAUGAGUAUGUUUUUGCUUAAUUUUGAUUAAAAAAAUGUAAAAGCAGCAUUUGAUAUUACAAUAAAGUACACUCUAAAGGCAAAAAUCACAAGAGAGGUGUGAAAGUUGGGAAAAAGUAGCACCCCCAUUUUUAGGUAUGGAAGCGAGAACUUUCAAGGCAACGGGCAUUGAGUGGAGGUCUUGGGUAGGCUGUGACUCGUGGUGUCAGUUCACACUGGGGCGUUGACGCAGCAUUUGGGGCUGUGAACAAGUGUCGCAUGCUUAUGUGUUUUAGUUUCAAAACAAAGGCGGAGAAAAAAGCACAAUGGGAGGCAACACGGUCCGCCAUAAAAUUCCACUAGAACGGUCGUCCCUCCUUUGGUCAAUAAGAAGGAAUGGUUUAAAAAAGAAAGAAGGUUGUUGAUGGGAAGAUUAUGAAUUGAAAAAAAUUUGUUAAGGGAGAAUUUUCAAAGGUCGAAAAUAACUCAUAAGGUCGUCGUUUAAGGCUUAUCUUUUUUAAUAAGUUCUAAAAAUAAUAUAAAUAUAAAAUAUAUUCAUACUUUUGACUUUUAAAUGGAAUAUACACUUUUUUUUUCUAUUUUUUUUAUUAUAAUCAUCACAAUUAUUAAAAGGGAGAAAAUAAAAAUAAAGAGGGAAAAAUGGUUGUUUGGUAAAUUUGAAAUCUCUUGUUUACAAGCUAAGGAUAAUUCAAACAUAGUAACUAUAUGAUCAUCCAUAACUUUCAUAAAAAAUUAUAUCAUGGAUGAUUAUCAUAUUUUAAUAAUAUGUUCGUUGAAAUCCUACUAUUAAAAUCCUUAGUAAAAGGAAAAAAAUAUUAUAUUCUUUUAAAUCCUUAAAUCGUUAUGAUUAUGUAGUCAAAAACCUUAUUAGUAGAACUUAGUGGGAUAAAAUAUAAAUAAAGAGAAAAAAAAAGUACAAUGUAGUAACAACCUUGUUAGUUUGUUAUUCCUCAUGUAAAAAUAAUUAUGUUUUCUUGAGUAUCUUAGUUUAGCAUUCCUUGAAUCACCACAUUUUGGUACUGUGUAUGAGUUUCUUGAAUGUUGUAGUAAACAAAACUUUUGUAAAUGACUUUGUUAGAUUAUUAUUAUUAGAUCUUAUUUUAUAAAUAUUGAUAGCAUUAUAUUUUGAAGUUAAUGUAUAAAGAAGAAAUCUAGUGAAAUCUUAAUUUGAUUGUUUCCAUGCAAUAUGUUUUUGAAAUUGGUUCCAUUGCCUAAAACAACUGUGUAUGGAAUCCCAAAUCGGCACAUAAUGUUUUUGGAUUACUUAAGGGGGCAUAAAUUAUCUCAAUGCAUAGACGUCAUGGUAUUUACUAUUAGGGGGUGUUUGGUACGUCGGAAUAGGGAAUGAAAAUAAUAUUUUAUUUUCUUUCUUAUUUCUUAGUGGAAUGGAAUGAAUUUGAUGAUUCCAUUUCUAGCAUUUGGAUGAACUUAGGAAUGCAAGAUUGGAAUGAUUAUUUGUUUCCAUUCCAAUGUUUGAUAAUAAUAGGAAUGGAAAUGAAAAAGAAAUAAAUUUACAAUAAUAUCCUUACAUAUAAUUUAAAAUAUUUUUUUAUUUUUACUUUUAUUUUAAAAAAAUAAAAUUUGAGAGGUUUUUUGUUAUUAAAUAAUAAGACUAAAAAAUAAAUAUAUACUCAAUAAAUAAAAAAUUAACCAUAAAAAAUCGUAUAACCCUAAUGCACAAAUAUUCAAUUAUUAUUUUAAUGGUUUGUUUACUAUUAAAUAGCAAUGAUAUGAAGAGAUCUUCACUGUGGCCCAUGCUAAAGUUUCAAAAUGAGCCGGAAACGCAGUAGAUUUUCUGCGAGAUGGCAGAAUCCAUAGCUUUAACUAGGAAAGGAAGACGUCGAUAAUAAUAAACAAAGGGGAAAAAAAACCAAAAGUUUUGUUUUUGUUUGUUUUUUUCUUUUUAUUUUUUUCCUAACCAUUAAAAAUUUUCAAUAUUGUAAACACGUGAAAUCGAAAAAUCUUUUUCCAACCAUUUCAAUUUUUCUCUCCAAUUUCCAUUAAUACAAGAUAAAGAAACAUCAAAGAUUCCAAAUAUAAAUUAAUAAAAAAAAAUUAAUCGAUUUAUAGAGAAGAAGAAACACAUAUAAAGAAGUAGAAGAAGAAAGAGAAAAUAAGGCAAACCUGA
rnacentral:lncRNA from 1 species